rnacentral:rRNA from 1 species
UACAGAGGGUGCGAGCGUUGUCCGGAAUCACUGGGCGUAAAGGGCGCGUAGGUGGCGACCCAAGUCGAUGGUGAAAGCUCGCCGCUCAACGGCGAGUCGGCCACCGAUACUGGGUUGCUUGAGCACUGUAGAGGCUAAUGGAAUUCCGGGUGUAGCGGUGGAAUGCGUAGAGAUCCGGAAGAACACCGGUGGCGAAGGCGGCCUGCUGGGCAGUAGCUGACACUGAGGCGCGACAGCGUGGGGAGCAACAGG